rnacentral:rRNA from 1 species
CCUACGGGCGGCUGCAGUGAGGAAUAUUGGUCAAUGGGCGUAAGCCUGACCCAGCCAUCCCGCGUGUAGGAAGAAGGCGCUAUGCGUCGUAAACUUCUUUUCCAGAGGAAUAAAAUUUCGUACGUGUACGGAACUGAAGGUACUUUGGGAAUAAGCAUCGGCUAACUCCGUGCCAGCAGCCGCGGUAAUACGGAGGAUGCGAGCGUUAUCCGGUUUUAUUGGGUUUAAGGGGGAUGUAGACGUCUUAAUAGAAAACCUUCAGCUUAACUGGAGAACUGCCAUUGAUACUGUUAGUCUUGAGUACGGUCAAGGUAGGCGGAAUGUGUAAUGUAGCGGUGAAAUGCUUAGAUAUUACACAGAACACCGAUUGCGAAGGCAGCUUACUGGGCCAUGACUGACGCUGAUGCACGAAAGCAUGGGGAGCGAACAGGAUUAGAUACCCCGGUAGUC